rnacentral:rRNA from 1 species
GACGAACGCUGGCGGCGUGCUUAACACAUGCAAGUCGAACGAUGAAGCUAGAGCUUGCUCUGGUGGAUUAGUGGCGAACGGGUGAGUAACACGUGAGUAACCUGCCCCGAACUCUGGGAUAACUGCUGGAAACGGUAGCUAAUACCGGAUAUGACCAAUGAAGGCAUCUUCUGUUGGUGGAAAGAAUUUCGGUUCGGGAUGGACUCGCGGCCUAUCAGCUUGUUGGUGAGGUAACGGCUCACCAAGGCGACGACGGGUAGCCGGCCUGAGAGGGGGAUCGGGCACACUGGGACUGAGACACGGCCCAGACUCCUACGGGGGGGAGCAGUGGGGAAUAUUGCACAAUGGGCGCAAGCCUGAUGCAGCAACGCCGCGUGAGGGAGGACGGCCUUCGGGUUGUAAACCUCUUUUAGUAGGGAAGAAGCGAAAGUGACGGUACCUGCAGAAAAAGCACCGGCUAACUACGUGCCAGCCGCCGCCGUAA